AUAGCUUCUCAGCCUUUGGACUAAGAUCAUGUAUAGUAUCUGUUCUUAUCAGUUUAAUAAUAUUCUAGGAUAAGAGCAUGCAUAUUAUAUAUGCGUUAAAAUUAUAAAAUAGAAGAUCACCUAUU
rnacentral:snRNA from 1 species